GAGUACGAAGGUGCGCUCAGACCGGUCGGAAAUCGGUCGCAGAGUAUAAAGGCAAAAGCGCGCUUGACUGCGAGACAGACACGUCGAGCAGGUACGAAAGUAGGUCUUAGUGAUCCGGUGGUUCUGUAUGGAAGGGCCAUCGCUCAACGGAUAAAAGGUACUCCGGGGAUAACAGGCUGAUACCGCCCAAGAGUUCAUAUCGACGGCGGUGUUUGGCACCUCGAUGUCGGCUCAUCACAUCCUGGGGCUGAAGCCGGUCCCAAGGG
rnacentral:rRNA from 1 species